rnacentral:hammerhead_ribozyme from 1 species
AUCCAGCUGACGAGUCCCAAAUAGGACGAAAUGCGCGCUCUGGAU